rnacentral:rRNA from 1 species
UACGUAGGUGGCAAGCGUUGUCCGGAUUUACUGGGCGUAAAGAGCGCGCAGGCGGUCGUUCAAGUCGCGUGUGAAAGCCCCCGGCUCAACUGGGGAGGGUCACGCGAUACUGAUCGACUCGAAGGCAGGAGAGGGUAGUGGAAUUCCCGGUGUAGUGGUGAAAUGCGUAGAUAAUCGGGAGGAACACCAGUGGCGAAGGCGACUACCUGGCCUGUUCUUGACGCUGAGGCGCGAAAGCUAGGGAGCAACGGG